AGAGAGAGAGAGAGAGACAGAGGGCUGCUUUUGUAUGUGUACACCACUGUGAGGGGCUUUGUAAGCCUUCGUGAUCUGCUAUGGGCAAAUUAAUAUCAGUUCAUUAUGAAAUUUGUCGCUGUCGAUAUCUACUACUUCGUAUGCAUAUUUAUAGUAUCUACUUCAUGUUUUUCAUGAUAUAGUACCGAAAUUGAAAAUUAGAUAGAUAUUAUUUUGCACAAUGAAAACUGUGAGAACAUUUAGUCUUU
rnacentral:misc_RNA from 1 species